GAUGGGUUAAGAAGGGGGAUAUGAUUAUCCUCCCAGGAGGAAUCUAUCAUCGAUUUACCCUGACACAAACAACUACAUUAAUAUCCUGAGGCUUUUCUAGGGCGAGCUAGUCUGGACAACAUACAAUCGUCCUUGUGAGGAGCAUCCUGCUAGGUUAUUUUUUCUCAAAAGAUUCCUUUGAUUCUACCGAAAGCAAACGAUGCUAAUAUAAAGAAAUGCAAGUGGCACGCUGUUCAAGAUAAAGUUCUGAAAGUAUGGAUUGUUGUGCGUUCUUACACUCCUGAAUAUAUAAUUGCCAAGUCACCGUUGAGCUCUUCUGCUGCAGUCAUACUCUGGUUUCUCAUUGGAAGUUCAAUGAUACGAUGGUUAUUGAGUGGCCCAUCUGUUAAGACACAUGGGGCCUUCAAUUUGUUGAAGUUAUCAGUGACUCUUCUACAAGUCAUAUUCAUCGUGAUAGGCUGGGCAAUCGUGACAUGGAGAUCAGGGAUAGCUACAGGAUUUUACCUUAGAUGACAUAAGGAGACAUGUCCGACCAUUUGUAGUGUUGAAGAUUUCUGGACAAGGAACAUUAAAGAUUUGAUACGGGCUAAAGAAAUCAAGAUUCGUCCUGCAGAAAGGCUCGAUGCAGAAGUUCAAAAUCUUGUUGUUAAACAACCCACUAAAAACAUGAUCCCAUUGACUCUCUUUUUUCUGCUGCUAUUACAAUGGCUAACAGUGCGAUUCAACAAACUAUGCUGGAUCAUCUGGGUUAAUAUUUUUCAACGUAAAUAUGUGAAUCGUUUGUGUUGGAUGAUGCCCAAUCAAAGUGAAAAGGAGUUAGAAAGGCUGUCAAAUUAUGAAAAGGUUUUGGAAGGCCUGGAGAUGUUAAGUGAGACACCAGAAAGGCUCUGGAUAGCUAAUAAAAAGUCCAUUGCAAGAGCAAAAGAACUUAUAACACAAGGCAAUGAAGGCAUUGGAUAGCCUCUGGAUCUCAGCACUUUCGAUCCUAACAGCCCAGGUGAAGAAUUCAAUUACUUGUCGAAAAUUAAAGUUGAUAAGCCCUUAGAGGUGGAGAAACAGUUUGUAGAAGCCACUAAAACAUCUUGGAAAAUGACAGUAGUUUCCUUGAUCAAUAUCAUCAUUCAACUCUCUCCAAUCUCUAAUUAUAAUUCAGAAUGCUCAUUUGAUACUUCCGAUCACAUGUCUCAUGAUUUUCCUCCCAAAUAUGAAAAGGAUUCUCUCAAAGCAUACUCUCAAGCAUGGGAAAUACUAGAUUUUAUUGAUUCCCAGGAAGAUGACAGUAUCAUGCGUGAGGCCGUUGACAACCUCUUCUUCAGCCUACAAACAAAUGUGGAAAAAGGAGUUCUUCCCCCUAAGAGAAAUUUUCAUUGGACACCUAAAUGCUCGUCUAGAGCAAUUCAUGAACUUGCAGAGAAAAGAAAAGAAAAAGUAUAUAACCCCCGAGGUAUGGACAUUAUGUCAGCCUUGGUUAAUAAAGUUGGACAAAAAGGAAGGAGAACAGAAAGGCUGAGUCUGUAGAUUUGGAGACCGCGGGAGCCUAUGAUUCCAUGGACUGGAGGGAGGUUGCAGGGGAAAAUGCUAUGUACAAGUUAUGCAAAAGUAUUCCUUGUGACACUGAUCCCGAUCCUCGCCAAUUGUUCGACGAGUUACAACGUACAUUAGGAGAAAUCAUAAUUGGUGCCAUUGAAAAAGCCAAGCUCAUGAUAGUGGAAAAAUGCAGUAAAUGGGCCAAAUACUCUGAUGAAAAUAACAUAGCGAGGGCACUCUACAUCACGGGGAAAGCCACGUGGCUGACCAAGGUGGACCGUUCAAAGCAGCCUUAGACUGCUCAUUGAAUUCUACCUACAUUUGUUAGGAUUUAUUGUCCAAGUGUUAUUUCUCUCAAGUUCGGAUGGGUUUGUUUUUUGUCCUUGUUUUGUGGGUGGGGUUGUCCAAGAUCAUGAAUGUUAAAGGUACAUGGUCACAUUUUUAA